GUGCUUGCUUCGGCAGCAUGUAUACUAAAAUUGGAAUGAUAUAGAGAUUAGCGUGGCCCCUGCACAACGAUGACAUGCAAAUUUGUGACACUUUCUAUAUUUUU
ensembl:snRNA U6 U6 spliceosomal RNA